rnacentral:rRNA from 1 species
AGCGAACGCUGGCGGCAGGCCUAACACAUGCAAGUCGAACGGAUCCUUCGGGAUUAGUGGCGGACGGGUGAGUAACACGUGGGAACGUGCCCUUUGGUUCGGAACAACUCAGGGAAACUUGAGCUAAUACCGGAUGUGCCCUUCGGGGGAAAGAUUUAUCGCCAUUGGAGCGGCCCGCGUCUGAUUAGCUAGUUGGUGAGGUAAAGGCUCACCAAGGCGACGAUCAGUAGCUGGUCUGAGAGGAUGAUCAGCCACAUUGGGACUGAGACACGGCCCAAACUCCUACGGGAGGCAGCAGUGGGGAAUCUUGCGCGAUGGGCGAAAGCCUGACGCAGCCAUGCCGCGUGAAUGAUGAAGGUCUUAGGAUUGUAAAAUUCUUUCACCGGGGACGAUAAUGACGGUACCCGGAGAAGAAGCUCCGGCUAACUUCGUGCCAGCCGCCGCGGUAAAAC